UACGAGGGGGGCGAGCGUUGUUCGGAAUUAUUGGGCGUAAAGGGUGCGUAGGCGGUUCCGCAAGUCCUGUGUGAAAUCUUCGGGCUCAACUCGAAGUCUGCACGGGAAACUGCGGGGCUUGAGUGUGGGAGAGGUGAGUGGAAUUCCCGGUGUAGCGGUGAAAUGCGUAGAUAUGCGGAGGAACACCGAUGGCGAAGGCAAUCCCCUGGGCCUGCACUGACGCUCAUGCACGAAAGCGUGGGGAGCAAACAGG
rnacentral:rRNA from 1 species